rnacentral:rRNA from 1 species
UACAGAGGGGGCAAGCGUUGUUCGGAAUUACUGGGCGUAAAGGGCGCGUAGGCGGCCAUGCGUGUCUUCCGUGAAAUCCCUCGGCUUAACUGAGGACGUGCGGAAGAAACUGCAAGGCUUGAGUCCGGGAGAGGGGGGUGGAAUUCCCAGUGUAGCGGUGAAAUGCUUAGAUAUGACAUAGAACACCAAUUGCGAAGGCAGCUCACUACACAAUCAUUGACGCUGAGGCACGAAAGCGUGGGGAUCAAACAGG